UACGUAGGGGGCUAGCGUUGUCCGGAUUUAUUGGGCGUAAAGAGCGUGUAGGCGGCCAGGUAGGUCCGGUGUGAAAACUCGAGGCUUAACCUCGAGAUGUCAUCGGAAACCAUCUGGCUAGAGUCCGGAAGAGGAAAGUGGAAUUCCUGGUGUAGCGGUGAAAUGCGCAGAUAUCAGGAAGAACACCAAUGGCGAAAGCAGCUUUCUGGCACGGUGCUGACACUGAGGUGCGAAAGCGUGGGGAGCGAUCCGG
rnacentral:rRNA from 1 species